GUGGGGAAUCUUCCACAAUGGACGAAAGUCUGAUGGAGCAACGCCGCGUGAGUGAAGAAGGGUUUCGGCUCGUAAAGCUCUGUUGUCGGGGACGAAUGUGCAGUAUUUGAAUAAAGUAGUGCAAUGACGGUACCUGACGAGGAAGCCACGGCUAACUACGUGCCAGCAGCCGCGGUAAUACGUAGGUGGCACGCGUUGUCCGGAAUUAUUGGGCGGAAAGGGAGCGCAGGCGGGAAGGUAAGUCGGUCUUAAAAGUGCGGGGCUCAACCCCGUGAUGGGAUCGAAACUAUCUUUCUUGAGUGCAGGAGAGGAAAGUGGAAUUCCUAGUGUAGCGGUGAAAUGCGUAGAUAUUAGGAGGAACACCAGUGGCGAAGGCGACUUUCUGGACUGUAACUGACGCUGAGGCUCGAAAGCCAGGGGAGCGAACGGGAUUAGAAACCCGGGUAGUCC
rnacentral:rRNA from 1 species